GAAGUCUCUCAGCCCCACUCACCUCACAGAGUGUUUGUUGUGGGGGAGGAAGGGAAAGGAGAAUGUUAGCCACUUUGAGACUCCUUAAAGGGAGUGAAAGGCGGGAUAUCAAAUCGAAACUCUUCUUCUUCUUCUAACAUUCUCCUUUCCCUUCCUCCUGCACAACAAACACUCUGUGAGGUGAGUGAGGCUGAGAGACUUC